CGCCGCCUCCGUAGCGCCCCGCCCCCGCCGGCCGCGGGCUGUUGUAGAGCCGCUUCGGGAAUGGAGGCGGGCCUUGCGUAACCAGCGUACCUUGCGGAGUGAGAGGAAGCAGCAGAGCUGGGAACAGCACACAAAUGUCCUGAGUCAACCCAAGGAACUCCAGACAGACACAGCAAUACAACCAUCAGCACAGUGACACAGUCCAUUCUGUGAGAGGUCCUGCGGAUGCCUCUGACAUUCCUGCUGGCUGAGAUGGGCAGCUCUGCUGGGAGACCCCUCCCUCCCAUUCCUGGUCAGGAAAGGGACACAACUGGGGGCCCUGGAAGACUGACUGAGUGGAGAGCAAAGGCAGGGCUGGCUCUGAGAGGACUUCUCCUGGUGAUGCAAUCGAGAGUGAAUGUGGAUGAACAUCACUUACCCUUCCAGAUAAAGCAAUGUGGUCUCCUUGGCCCUCUGCCUGCCCUUCAACACCAAAUGGGCAUAUGUGAAGUUGAAAUUCACGCUGCAGCAUCCAGACGGUGCCUCAAGCUGGCUGCACAUUCCCAGAAAGGAAGAACAACCCCCCCCUCCCAGCCUACCUGCAGAAUGACCUUUCUUCUGAUGCUGACUUGCAGCUCAGGAGCUUUUGUGCUGUGAGAGGCAGGACUUGCCAGUGAGAGAAGAGCUUGUGUCUGCCUGACUGCCUUCAGAGCAAGUCAGCUUUGCCAGCCAAGGCAGAUUCUUCUGGCCUGCUUCCAAGAGGCAUGAGCUUAAACAACUGGUCUCAGAUGGGGUGUCUCCACAGUCUUAGCCAUGAAGAGAGGAGAUGAAAUGUUUUCCCACUUAGUGUACACAGAAGAGUCUGGAGCUGAGCUGCUAUCUCCCCAACUGUGAAACUACAGUGAAAUCCAGUCUUUGUGUUCCGUUGCCUGCUUUGAGGAAAACAGUGGUCAUGGGAUCAGACAUCAACCUCAGGAUACCACGAAGCAUGGCUGCGAAGGGAUAGGGUAUGGAGAAGCGAGCAUUGACAAAUGCAGCCUGAUGAGGUGCUGAUGGGGAGAAGGAGGAUGAGAGUUGUUCCACUGAGGCCUGCCCAGGGAAAUGCUCUCCAUGGAAAGGGCUUUGGACCCUUUCCUGGAGCAUCACAUCAGUGCAGGGCUGCAGUUUGCCUCUCUUAAAUGGCAUUUUGCUGACUUUGAUCUCACAAGGUGACUUUGAUGGGUGAGAUGGAGCAGGGGCAGCUCCCAAGAGCCUGCAAGUUCCCAUGAAGCACAAACCACUCUGGAGCACCAACCUUCUAAGGAAAGCAGGAAGAGGCAGGAAAGGAUUGACUCUAUCCUACUGAGGGCUUUUCCUAAGAUGCCUGCUGGGAACGCUCGCUGUAUGUUUCUCUUUAGGUAGUAGCUCUUUUGAUUUUCUCACUGUCUCGCCAGUCACACUGAGGUGCCUGGAGAAGGAUUUGCUGAUUGCUUAUGAAAUCCAUUCUCCCUUGAGAUUCUCCUCUUCCCAUCUUGAUCAACUUUUAAUUCUUGCUUUCUAAUAACACCCAGGGACGGUGUUUUAUGGCUUUAUGAGGAUUUGGUGAUUGAUGUUCAUCUGUGCUUGCAGGAGACCAGUAACCUCAUUUCAUUUUUAACAGAAUAUCGGGAGAAGAGCUCUGUAUCCUUCGCUCUUCUUAGUCAUGUAUAAAUGAAAGUAAAGCGGAUAUAAUGUGUCCAGACCUGUCAGCCUGGCUCCCUUGUCAUCUCUCACCACACUGGUGAACUUCUGACACUGUUUCUCUCCAGCCUGGCACAUGGGCACGUGUUUGAAGGACACCGCUGGCUCAUUUUUGAUACCGUUCCAUGAUCUUGCUUUUAUUCUUGGUUCUGCACACCAGCAUCUGGGGUGGUUGGAAGUAGCUGCUCUAAGUUGGCGUGGGAGUAGAUUGCUUAAAUAUUACCUCACAGAGUCAAUGUAAAUUGAGAGCAGAUAAGACUUGGACCCCAAAUGCCUUUUUUUUGACCCAUUUCUGUCUUUUUCCCAGUUCCAUUCUCUCUGCUCUUUCUGAUUUUGAGCAGUUUUGAGAGGAAUGGGACUCCUGGUUCAUGCCUAAACCAACCUUAUCUGUGGUACCCAAAGGCACACACACAGGUAUCCACCACUGGCAAAGGAUUUUUCAGUAAAAGAAAAUCCUGGAGGAAGAAUGCCCACAGUGAUGAAUUGAGGGAAAAUGCACAAAAUCCUGGACCCAGAUAACCUGCUAAUAUCGUUCACCAAACUGUGACUCUGUUCUCUUAGAGCAAUGGCAUUUCCCUUUACAAAUACAUUUUAUUUCCUUAGGAGAAAGGACAUUUAGAGCAUCUCUACUGAAAGGGAGAAGGUGGAAGAGGCUGUGAGGACGCCGUGCUUCCUACGCUGGUCCACAGAUUCUAAACACAGGUCUGAACACAAGCACGAUGGCAACUCUGCGCUCAGGCUGCCAAGGCUCCCGCUCCCAACUGCAUCCUCCACCUUCUCUUUCAGAAGUAACAAAGACGUUUGGUUUCCUCCCAGCCCUUCUCCCCUCCCCCUCGCUGGCACUGGGGUUAUUUAUACAGAAUGUGGAAACAAUUUGGAGGAAAGUGAACAAUGUAAGCUGAGGAGGGAAGGGAGGCAAGUUCAGUGUGCGUGCUUCCAGCCCAGGAGAGGAGCGCUGCUUUCCUAGGGAGGGAUGGAGAGGGAAGGGACUGUUUUCCCUUCUUUCUGCUCCUCUCUUUCAAGGUCCCGCUUUCCAUCUUGCCAGGGUUGGGUCCAAACCAGAGCAACCAGAUCUGACUGUGUGUUUUGGAGGGAGUUCAGGUUGGAUCCCUCCCUGCAUCACAGCUUGAUGAGGCAGUAUCUGUGUACUUAAUCCUUGCGGAGGUUUUGCUCUCGGAUCAUUGCUGCUCCUGGAUUAGCAUUAAUGAAGAGCAUGUGUGGUUGAGAGGUCCUGAUUCAGGCCCUGAGAGCUGCAGCAUUGCUAAAGGCAUUGUUUUCUGUUCUACAUAGCUAUUCCAAAGAGCAGUUUGGCUGGAAGAUGAGAUUCCUCAGGAGUUAACGAGACAGCAAAGUCUAAUUUCAGUUUCUCUCCCCUCACCCACUAUAUCAUGAUGUUUUCAGAACAUCCCAGCACCUUGCUAGCACCAGUGUGAGUGUCCUUGUAAAUCAGUUUGUUUUAGUGCCCACCAAAGAGCUGAGCUCUGCUGGAGCCUGGGAAUGUGCAGGGUGUCAGCCAUGGGAAGCUGGACCAGCAUUAGAUUUGGUACCACUCAACAGGUCUGAGGUCUUUAGAUCUCGCUGUGCACUGGGCUCCGUUGCUGUGAAGUCCUCAAACAAAAGCAGUCCAAACCCACACACCUUUGAGUGCUGCGGGGAGAAGGAAAUGUUCUCCACAGGUUGCACGUCCAAGUGCCUGCCUUGGCAAGCUCCUUCCUUCCCAGGAGCUUGAAGCAGCCUCCUUUCUCAAUAGCCUCAAGACUUGGGACGUGAUCCAUGCAAGUUGUGCUGAGCUGGUAGGGCCGGGCUGGGAAGCUGCCAAGUGGGACACUGUGUUCCUCCCUAAACCAGGUGAAUUUCCAGCUGUGAGCUGGUGCAGCAGAUACACUGUGAUCUGAUGGCACAGAGGGACAGUUGGGAACCUGUAGUAGGGCUGUUCCUUUGUGAGACCUUGCACUGAAGCUUCCAACACAAGAGGGACGUGGAGCUGUUGGAGCAAGUCCAGAGGAGGCCACUGAGGUGCUGAGAUGCACUGGAGCAGCUCUGCUCUGGAGCCAGGCUGAGAGAGCUGGGCUGGGGCAGCCUGGAGAAGAGAAGGCUCCUGAAGGGGAGACCUUAGAGCAGCUCCAGUGCCUAAAGGGGCUGCAGGAAACCUGGAGAGGGGCUUGGGA